AGCCCACACGAUAACAUGCGGCCCAACCAACUUAGGCCAUAUGAAUACACCACACGAGUAUACGACGUCAGACACGACCAAACCCCUCGUCUCGUCUCGUCGCCUCGCCUCGCGAGUUCGCCCGCCGCCUGCGCCGAGCAGCCGCCGAUCUCCGCCACGCGAGCAGCGGCGCCGGCGUCCUGCUACUUCCGCCGCGUCCUCGCCGAAGGAAGGAUGAGUAGGCGCUGGAGCAGGACAAUUUAUGUCGGGAACCUCCCGGGCGACAUCAGGGAGAGGGAGGUAGAGGAUCUGUUCUACAAGUAUGGACGCAUUGUUGAUAUUGACUUGAAGAUCCCCCCAAGGCCGCCUGGUUUUGCUUUUGUUGAGUUCGAAGAUCCCCGUGAUGCUGAAGAUGCAAUCCGUGGACGGGAUGGCUAUAAUUUUGAUGGGAACCGUUUGAGGGUGGAACUUGCACAUGGUGGGAGAGGUAACUCUUCCUCCUUUAACAAUUCUGGUGGAGGGGGACGUCGUGGGGGUGUAUCUAGGCAUACAGAGUAUCGCGUUCUGGUUACUGGACUACCUUCUUCAGCAUCAUGGCAAGACCUAAAGGACCAUAUGCGAAAUGCUGGUGAUGUUUGUUACUCUGAAGUGUACCGUGAGGGUGGUGGUACUAUAGGAAUUGUAGACUACACAAACUAUGAUGACAUGAAGUAUGCUAUCAGGAAACUUGAUGAUUCUGAAUUUAAGAAUGCCUUCUCAAAGGCCUAUAUAAGGGUGAAGGAGUAUGAUGGAAAGCGCAGCCGUUCAUACUCACGAAGCCGAAGCCGAAGUCGAGGUCGCAGCUACAGCAGAAGCAGGAGUCCAAGCAAGUCUCCCAAGGGAAAGUCAUCACGCCGUUCAGCAUCUAGAUCUCGAUCGAGAUCAGCUUCUUCCCGUUCAAGAUCAGAGUCAAAGGGGCGCUCUCCAUCAAGAUGAGGAUUUGUGCGGAGAUCUAGGGAUUGCAUAAUGGGAAAUCGAGGUUGGGAUUUCUUCUAUAUGCAACAGUUCUAUUGGUUGUCUGAGAAUCAGAGCCUGGGCCUAAGAAUUGCUUUGGGACACUGGAGCUAGAGCAUUAAGGAUUGAUGCUAUGGAUUAUGGUGGCGCAAUGACUGUGUUUGCUUGGAUUGAGUAAAUGAGGAAUGAGUUUCUCGCUUGCUCUCUCGUUGGGAUCACUUUGGAGGAAUGUUCUAGCGAAUAUGUCACGUAACAUUUGACACUAAACACUCUGAAUGUUUUGAACUUAAGGAAUUUGUUCUCUUCUAAUUUCUAUGAGCUCUUUUUGCUUGCAUCUGGCCAUUCCAAUGAUUGGGAGGCGUGAAGGCUUUUUGGAAGCAAACUGUUAAAGCUGCAUUCUGGAAUCUGGAUAUUGAAUCGUGUUAUUUCUGGAACUUUUUGCAGAUCACCAGCAAGAUCUCAGUCUCCAAAUACUUCUCCUGCCAAUGGUGAUGCAGCAAGCCCCAAGAAACGCAGCCCAAGCAGGAGCCCCCCCAAGAAACGUAGCCCAAGCAGGAGCCCAUCACGUUCCCGAUCUCCUGAUGCCAAGUCCGAAUGAUGCUGAUGUGCUUCUGGGGACGGAGUGUCGAGGAAUCAUGGUCCUGAAACGUUUUGACAUCUGUCGCCCUCGACUACUUCUGAAUCGCUUCCAAAGUACUAUUUCAUACGUUCAGUGCUCUUUCAGAUUACUGGAUGAUACUGUACGCCUAUUUAUAGAUUUGAACUUGGGAUUUGUCUUUUGUUCAUUUUGACACUGUACUUGACUUAGGUAUAUUAUUGUGGUACUGGUAAGAAAGUUGAACAGAGUCAUUCCGUCGUUUGUUUGCUUAAUGCACUUCCUAGCUCAAGUUGCAGGUAAUAAAUACAUUUAUAUCCA